rnacentral:lncRNA from 1 species
AAUGUUGAUUAGACCCUCCAAUCGAAGUCUCCUGUACUCCACCUUCUUCAUUAACACCUCUUUCAAUAAGGGUAUGUAUGAAAGUAAGUAGGUCAGUCGGAUCAACAGAAGGAUUUCUUUCAAUUCCCACAGCUAUAUGAGUCAGCAUAUCCUGUAAUUUUGUUUUUAAUUUCGGCGUUAAAUGCUUCUGCAUAUGAGCUGUUACAGGAGAAAGAAGCUUCAACGCAAUGCUUUUGAAGGUUAUGU